rnacentral:rRNA from 1 species
AGUGAACGCUGGCGGUAGGCCUAACACAUGCAAGUCGAACGGCAGCACAGUAAGAGCUUGCUCUUACGGGUGGCGAGUGGCGGACGGGUGAGGAAUACAUCGGAAUCUACUUUUUCGUGGGGGAUAACGUAGGGAAACUUACGCUAAUACCGCAUACGACCUACGGGUGAAAGCAGGGGAUCUUCGGACCUUGCGCGAUUGAAUGAGCCGAUGUCGGAUUAGCUAGUUGGCGGGGUAAAGGCCCACCAAGGCGACGAUCCGUAGCUGGUCUGAGAGGAUGAUCGGCCACACUGGAACUGAGACACGGUCCAGACUCCUACGGGAGGCAGCAGUGGGGAAUAUUGGACAAUGGGCGCAAUCCUGAUCCAGCCAUACCGCGUGGGUGAAGAAGGCCUUCGGGUUGUAAAGCCCUUUUGUUGGGAAAGAAAAGCAGCAGGUUAAUACCCCGCUGUUCUGACGGUACCCAAAGAAUAAGCACCGGCUAACUUCGUG